rnacentral:rRNA from 1 species
AGAGUUUGAUCCUGGCUCAGAACGAACGUUGGCGGCGUGGAUUAGGCAUGCAAGUCGAACGAAUCCCAGCUUUGUAGCAAUACCGAGCUGGGGGAAGUGGCGAAAGGAGCAGUAAUGCGUGGGUAACCUACCUUGGGGACGUGGAUAGCCAUUCUAACGAGUGGGUAAUACGCGGCGAUUUGGUUGGGGGGCAUCCCUUGACCAGGAAAUGAAUUUCGCCUCGAGAGGGGCUCACGUGAUAUUAGCUAGUUGGUGGGGUAACGGCCUACCAAGGCAAAGAUGUCUAGCGGGUGUGAGAGCACGACCCGCGCCACUGGCACUGAGACACUGGCCAGACACCUACGGGUGGCUGCAGUCGAGGAUCUUUGGCAAUGAGCGCAAGCUUGACCAAGCGACGCCGCGUGUGCGAUGAAGGCCUUCGGGUUGUAAAGCACUGUCGAGGGGGACGAAGCCGCAAG